rnacentral:pre_miRNA from 1 species
CACUCAGGGAGGGGGUCCCUCAGCCCAGAUUGCAUGAGGGUGCAGGCCAGGCUGAGGGACCCCAUCGGUGCACG